AUAUAGAAUGCUCUCCUCCUCUCAAGCACCAGGUCUGCCUACACACGGCUGUGCUUCCCACCAUGAUGAUAAUGAACUAAACCCCUGAAACUAAGCCAGCCCAGAGUAUGUUUUCCAUCAUGAGAGCUGCCAUGGUCAUGGGGUCUCUUCACAGCAAGAGAACCCCUGACUCAGACAGUGAGUUUGGAGGUGAGAUGACGAUUGUGAGGAAUCAGCUCUCUCUUUCCAUCACUGCGGAUCCCAGGGAAGGACGUUAGGUCGUCAGCUCAGUGACAAGCGUCUGUACCUCUAAUCCAUCUCGACCCUGCCCUUUGCAGUAGCCAUGUCUGUUUGUCAACUUGAUGAUACCCGGAAUGAGCAAUCAUCCAGAAGUGGAGGACAUACCUAUGGGAGAUGACUCCGCUGGUUUUGUAGUGGAUGAAUCUACUUCUAGACCAGCUUUGAGGUGAGAUCUGGAUCUUGAGGUGGGAAGACAUACCUUUAACCUGGGCCACACCCUCUGCUGGAAGUCUAUGGAAGAGGACGACAUAGGAAGCUUUCGUUCUUUGCCUGCUCACCCUCGCCUCUCGAGCACAUCCAUCCCUUCACUGGCGUUAGCGCCGCCUACUUCUGCGGGAUUCCGGCAGAUACAGGAGAUCAGCUGAGACAUCCAGCCGUGUGGACUGAGCAACCACUGGAUUCUUGGGCUUUAUGUUCACGGUCAACUGUUGUUUGAUUAGCUGGACAACAGCCUCUCUCUCUCUCUCUCUCUAUAUAUAUAUAUAUAUAUAUAUAUAUGAGAUAGAUAGAUAGAUAGAUAGAUAGAUAGAUAGAUAGAUAGAUAGAUANNNNNNNNNNNNNNNNNNNNNNNNNNNNNUUCUUCUUCUUCUUCUUCUUCUUCUUCUUCUUCUUCUUCUUCUUCUUCGAGAUAGUCUCCCAUAGUUGCUCAGGCCCUUGGGCUUCCUCUGCAGCACAAAUAGCUUUGAAUUUUCUCUCCUGUCUCAGCCUCCAGUAGCUAGGAUUAUAGUCUGUUGCCACCAGGUCUGGCUUACUAGCAUUAUUUUGACACCACUAAUUUUGUGUUAUAGCAUCAAUAGAAAAACCAGCUGAAUCUAGUCAAUGAAAAACCCAAAACAAGACAUUAGCAUAGGUGCCACCAGCAAUAUCUGCAGAAGACCACGGACUCGGAGUGGAGUCCAGCAUCUGCUCAGUACACCAAGCGAAUGUCGGGAAAGUUCAAAGGCAGGACCUGCAAAUCAUUGGCUCCUGGAGACCCUGAAAUGGACUGAGCAGCUAACUAUUAUAUCUGUGUGUAUGUGUCAGUUCUCUUGCUCUGCAGACACCUUCAGAAUUCAGCGCUGGCUGCCGUUCUUAGAACCUGUUCUGUUCUUGGAGCUGCGUCAUUGUUGUAUUGUUUUCUUUGUUCAACUAAACUCUAUUUCCUAUGAUAGGACUAAGGAAUUCUUCCUUUCCUCAAUACAAUUAUAUCAAUAAUUAAAUAUGAAAUGUGUGGACCCAGCUAU
ensembl:lincRNA C430042M11Rik RIKEN cDNA C430042M11 gene